rnacentral:lncRNA from 1 species
GAAGUUCCAAAUACUUAACCACAUAAGGUUUCGGAGCAUUUUCAAAAGUAAUCAAACAAAUGAAAUCACCUCCAACAUAAGUCAGGAAACAAAUUCGAAGUAGCAUCAAAUACACAAGAAAUCCAAACAUAGAAACAAAACUCUGUCCAUAUUUCUUGCUAUUUUCCAGUAAUACAGAAUUCAUGAGAACAAUAUCUUCCUUGCACAAUAGUAAUUUAGAAACUAA